rnacentral:rRNA from 1 species
CCUACGGGGGGCAGCAGUGGGGGAUAUUGCACAAUGGGGGAAACCCUGAUGCAGCGACGCCGCGUGUGGGAAGACGGUCCUCUGGAUUGUAAACCACUGUUCCCAGGGACGAAGAUGACGGUACCUGGGGAGGAAGCUCCGGCUAACUACGUGCCAGCAGCCGCGGUAAUACGUAGGGAGCGCGCGUUGUCCGGAAUUACUGGUUGUAAAGGGAGCGUUGGCGGGACUGCAAGUUGGAGGUAAAAUCUACCGGCUCAACCGGUGGCCGCACUCUAAACUGCAGUUCUUGAGUGAAGUAGAGGCAGGCGGAAUUCCUGGUGUAGCGGUGAAAUGCAUAGAUAUUAGGAAGAACACCAGUGGCGAAGGCGGCAUGCUGGGCUUUUACUGACGCUGAGGCUCGAAAGUGUGGGGAGCGAACAGGAGUAGAUACCCUAGUAGUC